UUGCACAAGCUUUGUUGAAAACUGGUCAAUAAAGUCGAAUGUUGUCAUUUCAAAAGACAUUUGAAAAUGUCGUUGUUACAUAACAGGCGAGUCAACAGUCUCUGGGAAGUAUGGACCAAAACAUGGAUGUUUUGUUUUAAAAAAUUUCUCUUUUGUCUACGAAAGUUCCUCUCGCUAAAUAAACUAUAAUAUCCAAGGAUACGCGUCAAGUUUAUCUGAAGUGAUGUUAUUUGCUUAACCGUGCGACAUGGGACUCGGAGGGAUAAAAGGAUGUCCAAAAAGCUCCUGUGUUAAGCAUUGGUUAAGGCUCUCCGGAUAAGGACAUCUAUACAACAUGUAUAUGACAUUAAAAAACAGUUUUUAAA